rfam:Triticum aestivum genome assembly, contig: Triticum_aestivum_CS42_TGACv1_scaffold_500762_6BL
CAAGUACUCCCUCCGUCCCGAAAUACUCGUCGGAGAGAUGGAUGUAUUUAGACGUAUUUUUGUUUUAGAUGCAUCCAUUUUCAUUCAUUUCUAUGACAAGUAUUUCUGGACGGAGGGAGUAUUAC